rnacentral:tRNA from 1 species
GCCGGAGUGGCGGAAUGGCAGACGCACGGGACUUAAAAUCCCGGGGAGCAAGGCUCCGUGUGGGUUCAAAUCCCACCUCCGGCACCA